UACGGAGGGUGCGAGCGUUGUCCGGAAUCAUUGGGCGUAAAGGGCGCGUAGGUGGCGCGGCAAGCGUGCGGUGAAAGCUCGGGGCUCAACCCCGAGUCGGCCGUGCGAACUGCUGGGCUUGAGCACUGUAGAGGCAGAUGGAAUUCCGGGUGUAGCGGUGGAAUGCGUAGAGAUCCGGAAGAACACCGGUGGCGAAGGCGGUCUGCUGGGCAGUGCUGACACUGAGGCGCGACAGCGUGGGGAGCAAACAGGAUAGAAACCCG
rnacentral:rRNA from 1 species